GUACUUAACAGUGAAUGGGCGUUAGAAAAGGCCAAGGAGAACGUUGAAAAAUAUUACAGCGUUGUCGGUGUUUUGGAACAGAUGGACAUUACCAUUAAAGUAAUGGAGGCUUACCUACCUCAGUUCUUCAAAGGUCUAUUUAAAGUUUAUAAGAAAACAGGGGUCGUAAACAAAACGUCCAAGAAGGGUAAAGUUCACAGAAGAAUAAAAGAAAUGCUAAAAAGAAACUUGACGACGGAAUACGAAUUUUAUAACUAUAUUGUUGAUCGACUUCACAAGCAACACAGAACAAUAGAACUUCACAAAACCCCAGUGAAGUCAUAGACGGUCCAAAAAUAUACAUUAAAUUUAGCUAAUGUGUUACCGUCCAGACUUUUAUCGAAAGAAAAGCAUAUAUUUCUUGUCCUCUGACUUCAAUUAUCUACUAUUUUUGUCCCAAAGAAAAGCAUAUAUUUCAUAUCCUCUGACUUCAAUUAUCUACUAUUUUUGUCCCAAAGAAAAGCAUAUAUUUCCUAUCCUCUGACUACUAUUUUUGUCCCAAAGAAAAGCGCAUAUUUCCUAUCCUCUGACUACUAUUUUUGUCCCAAAGAAAAGCAUAUAUUUUUUAUCCCCUGACUUCAAUUAUCUACUAUUUUUGUCCCAAAGAAAAGCGUAUAUUUCCUAUCCUCUGACUUCAAUUAUCUACUAUUUUUGUCCCAAAGAAAAGCGUAUAUUUCCUAUCCUCUGACUUCAAUGAUCUACUCUUUUGUUCCUAGGGACAAAAUGUUCUUGUUUCUAAGGAUCACUGUUUUUUGUUGUUUUUUUCUAAAUUGUAUGCUUUACGUCAUUCACAGUUGAACAAAAUGUAUAAAUUAUUACUGAGGUACAAGUUUAACCGUCGAUUCGAAAAAUUAGCUCUAAUCUUGAAUUUUAUAAUAUUAUUGUAUGUUCUCCUAUGUGGGAAGAGGUGCUGUAUUAGAGUAACAAGUGUAAUGGAAGUAAGUCUCUGGAAAUCUGUAAUAGAACCAUCUGUGAAAGUUUCAUUAUUACUCAUAUACGUUUUUCUCUAACAUCUUAGUCCUUUGACGUUAACUAGGGGUGUGAGUGAACUAUUUAUACAACCUUACUGAGUAAAUAAUUACAAUCAUUCAACCAGUACUGUGUUGUAAUUCAUCCAGAUUCGAACAGUAAAACUCCCUGUUAACAUUCACGUAAACUGGCCGCUAUGAUACACUUGAGUCUGUCUGUACAUCGUAUUUGUAUAUUCUAAUAAAAAACAUGUAUGAUGUAAA